CCUACGGGAGGCAGCCGUGGGGAAUAUUGCACAAUGGGGGAAACCCUGAUGCAGCGACGCCGCGUGAGUGAAGAAGUACUUCGUUCUGUAAAGCUCUAUCAGCAGGGCAGAACAUGACGGUACCUGAGUAAGAAGCCCCGGCUAACUACGUGCCAGCAGCCGCGGUACUACGUAGGGGGCAAGCGUUAUCCGGCUUUACUGGGGGUAAAGGGAGCGUAGACGGCAGUUCAAGUCUGGAGUGAAGGCGGGGGCUCAACCCCCGGACUGCUCUGGAAACUGUACGGCUGGAGUGCAGGAGAGGUAAGUGGAAUUCCUAGUGUAGCGGUGAAAGGCGUAGAUAGUAGGAGGAACACCAGUGGCGAAGGCGGCUUACUGGACUGUAACUGACGUUGAGGCUCGAAAGCGUGGGGAGCAAACAGGAUUAGAUACCCUGGUAGUC
rnacentral:rRNA from 1 species